rnacentral:tRNA from 1 species
GGGGUUGUGGUUCAGUGGUAGAGCACUUGCCUAGCAUGUGUGAGGCACUGGGUUCAAUCCCCAGCACCA